GUGAAACCGGUUGUGGAAGUGUGCCAAGAGAGCUGGGCAGCAAUGGAAGGAAGAGGAGGAGGAGGAUGAGGGAAGAGAUGAAGGUGAAAAAAGGGGAGGACUCCAUUCUUUGUUCUUUGUUGAUGAAAGCAGGAAUUGGAGCCGCGACUCCCACUCCCGCUUUCUCUCUGUUCGGGAUGAGCCUUGAUGUGUUAGGGUGAGCGAGCGAACAGAAUGGACGAGCAGGCACACACACACACACACACACACACACACACACACACACACACACACACGCACACAAAACUGCCUUAUUCCACUCAACUGAGACCCAAAUGACUCCUUGCUCACUAAUUAAACUUUAAUCUCCAAUAGCGCGCAAAUUACCUGCCACGCAGCUGAGUGCCAAACUACGGGGAUGCGUGGAAUGAGUGAGAUGGCGAGGGAGGGAGGGAGCGAAUGAGGGAUGGACAGAUGCACGAAAGAGAGAGAGAGAGAGAGAGAGAGAGAGAGAGUGGGAAGGUCACUCUCCACCGGCAGGAGGAAAAACUUCCUCCCUUUUUUUGUUGCCGCCACCCCCCCCCCCCCCCUCCUGUGUUGUUGAAAGGGGCAUAUGUGUUGACGCCUCCAAAAGUACCGCUCAAUCAAGUACGCGCACACAAAAUAUGCAGUCCUUGCAUUUUCGCCUUCCUCCAUCUGCCUGGCCUUGUUCCCGUCUUCCUCACAACAGAUGCAGCGUCUGCGAGGGCGCCGCCAUUUUGUGCCACGCAUCAGACAGAGGGCAUCAGAACACUCUGCGUGUGUGCGUGUGUGUGUGUGUUUGUGUGUGUGCACGCGCCACAUGGUUGGUCACGGAGAACUAAUGAUAAUUACUUCAAUUUUCCUAUAACUCCACCUUUUCCAAGCCUGAUGAUCAUGCACAAGCAUCCCUCUGUCGGUUUUGUGUGUGUGUGUGUGUGUGUGUGUGUGAUCGUGUGUGUGUGUGUGUGUUGGCUAAGCGACGGACUGCUCCGACUCCAAAUGUCAAAGCCGCUUUUGUUAAACGACGCCAUCAGCAUGAUGUAUGGCUGCGCGAUGGGACCGCAAUCUGCAAUCGCACGCCACUCGAUGUCCCCCAUAUAAAGAUGAAGCACUUUUUUUUUGUCUUUGCCAAUUUAAGUUAGCGGGAGCUUGACCCACCAGUGCCCCGACCUCCGAAUUUUUCAAGCCCUCACUUGGGCAAUUAUUUUGUUUAUGUUACGAGUCAAAAUUUGAGUGACAAGCCAGCCUUUCAAGUGACACAGAAGUGACAGAACAAUUCAGGUACUGUGAUGCCCGUCCAUGUGGGUAAGGAGAGCCACUGUCGCCACAUACUUUCACAAGCUGAUCCCUUGUGCACUGUGAUGUCAUUUUCAGAAGUUAGCAAAAGGCAAAAUGGCCGCCCCCUGGGAUGGAUUAAAAACAGCUGGAUUUCGCGUCUUCAUUCAUGUUCUACAAACACAAUAUUCGUCAGAAUGCCGUGUUUAGACAAGUGGGGUGGGGAGGUGGGCAUAGAACAUAUUAUUGGAAAGCAUUUUUUUUUCAAUUGACUUCCCCCUUAAGUAUCAGUGGCUGAUAUCGGCAACCUCUCUACAAGUAUUCGAUACCUGAAAAUAAAGCUCGUGUGGACCCGAGGCUUAUAUCUGGUAUCGCUACUUGCCCAGGCCUAUUCUCAAUCAAGUGUAAAUUGUAAACAGGCCAUCCAAUUAGCUUUCAUGGUAGCUUUGACGUGCCAUUUAAAACGUAAUUAGGAGCGAUAAAAAAAACAUGCAAUAAAGAGGGAUCACAUUUUAACAGCGCAAUGCCCUUUUCCCUGUGUGUUUUUAGGUCUUCCGCUUGAGCGUCUACCUUAAUGCGCACACAAAUGGCGAGCGGUGAAGGACGUCACCCCAAAUUAGCCAUCAUCAGGCCCCAUUUUGGAGACGAGGCGCCCCAUACACACAUCCACCGUGAAAUGAUUGACUCAAAGCCGCAGCGCUUAAUGAAGGCAUCAAGUGAGCACGCGUGUGCCGUGACCACUUCAAUCUUGAACCACCUGACAGAAUAUCAGUGAGCUUAAAAAAAUAAAUAAAUAAAUAAAUAAAUAAAUAAAUAAAAGGCUCCACCGGGAAAGAAAAGACGAGGUCACCGUCAAGACCGUUUGCACCCGAGUGAAAGUGAAAGGAGGCAUCAUGGUGAAUAUUAGCCACAGUUGGUGGGCAGGUGCACUGCGGGGAACAAGAGGGCACAAUCAAGGAUAUGUCUGUCAUGCAAGGCUGCCGAUGCGCAUGUGGACAUGUACUCGCCACCCGCCACGUCCGACUUGGAAAAAUCUGGCGUGCAAGAGGCAAUGAUGCCCCGUCGUGCUAUAGCGCAAAUAAGUGAGGGCAAAGGGAGGGCACGGUGAGCAGGGAGCUGGGCCGGAAUAUGUCGCAAGUGCAUGGCUUCGAACCUGCUGCGUGGGGGGGGGAAUGGGGGGGGGUAGGUUGCAUAGGACAAGGACGAGCUCGCUUGGCUGUCAUGAGUAGGCUGAUGGCUCGAAAUGAGGGUUGCGGAUGUGAUGGAGCCUUGCCCAGCCGUCAUAAGGCAGUAGGCGGGGCACACCCUGAACUGGUUGCUGCCUAAUCGUAGGGAACACAUAGAGGAGGAUUUUUUUU